rfam:Ovis aries breed Texel chromosome 6, whole genome shotgun sequence.
UGGCUCAGAGGUUAAAGCGUCUGCCUGCAAUGCAGGAGACCUGGGUUUGAUCCCUG